UGGGGAAUAUUGGACAAUGGGGGAAACCCUGAUCCAGCAAUGCCGCGUGAGUGAAGAAGGCCUUAGGGUUGUAAAGCUCUUUCAAUAGGGAAGAUAAUGACGGUACCUAUAGAAGAAGCCCCGGCUAAAUCCGUGCCAGCAGCCGCGGUAAGACGGGUGGGGCUAGCGUUGUUCGGAAUUACUGGGCGUAAAGGGCGCGUAGGCGGCCAUUUAAGUUAGACGUGAAAGCCUUGGGCUUAACCUAAGAAUUGCGUUUAAUACUAUUUGGCUCGAGUAUGGUAGAGGAAAGUGGAAUUCCUAGUGUAGAGGUGAAAUUCGUAGAUAUUAGGAAGAACACCAGAGGCGAAGGCGACUUUCUGGGCCAUUACUGACGCUGAGGCGCGAAAGCGUGGGGAGCAAA
rnacentral:rRNA from 1 species